rnacentral:rRNA from 1 species
GACGAACCGAGCGAACGUUGUUCGGAAUCACUGGGCUUAAAGGGCGCGUAGGCGGCUCAUGAAGGCUGUGGUGAAAGUCCGGGGCUCAACCUCGGAUCGGCCGUGGCGACUCGUGGGCUGGAGCACUGUAGAGGCGGGUGGAAUUCCGGGUGUAGCGGUGGAAUGCGUAGAGAUCCGGAAGAACACCAGUGGCGAAGGCGGCCCGCUGGGCAGUGGCUGACGCUGAGGCGCGACAGCGUGGGGAGCAAACAGG